rnacentral:rRNA from 1 species
UACGGAGGAUCCAAGCGUUAUCCGGAUUCACUGGGUUUAAAGGGUGUGUAGGCGGAAUAUUAAGUCAGUGGUGAAAUCCUAUAGCUUAACUAUAGAACUGCCAUUGAAACUGAUGUUCUUGAAUGUGGUUGAGGUAAGCGGAAUGUGUAGUGUAGCGGUGAAAUGCUUAGAUAUUACACAGAACACCGAUUGCGAAGGCAGCUUGCUAAGCCAUGAUUGACGCUGAGACACGAAAGCGUGGGGAUCAAACAGG